rfam:Brachypodium distachyon strain Bd21 chromosome 3, whole genome shotgun sequence.
UGGGUACUUCCUCCGUUCCAUAAUUCUUGUCGAAAUAUUACAUGUAUCUAGACGUUUUUUUAGAAAUAGAUACAUCCAUUUUUAGGCAAAGUUGAGAUAAGAAUUAUGGAACGGAGGGAGUAUUAA